AGGAGCGAGGACGCAGCCGACACCGGACACUGAGCGGGCCGCAGCCGGCCGCGCCGACACAGAGCAAGCCUGCCGCGGGACUCCGCACGAAGCACGGCUACCACAUCGACCCACACGCCGUGCGACACCACGAUGGCAGACGCUCCGUCUCCGAGGUGAGGGAGCCACCGCGCAAGGAGAAGUCGGACACGAGGAGUUCUCACGCCAAGGAGGACCCGGCGCUGCGAUACCGCGCAGGCGAGCGGCGAGCAACGCGCGGACAGACGAGCGAGUACUCGCGGCAGUUCCACG